AACAAGCACCUUGGUAGCUCCGAUCAUCUUCAACGCGUCCAACAUCAUCAGUACUGGUGCAGUCAUCGGGAGGACAAACCCUUCAUGCAAACUGUACCUACUAUCAACAAGAAGAUACGGGAGGUCAACCUGCUGGGUACUGCAGACUCUGCAAUACUGUACUAAAGUGGCCAUGGAGAAGGAAAGUGGUAGAGGAAGCCAGUAACUGCAGCCAUUGGGAAAACCAAACAUUAGCCUAAGGAAGAAAUGAAAACCAGAGCUGGUGCAAGAUGGUGAAUUGGUCCAUGCUAAUUAUUGGUUGCAAAGAAAAUGAGCAUCUAGGUGUAGAGGGUGAGAACAUCUACAAUGUUGAAGUAUAUAAAAAUAUUUUCUUCAGUUUGAUGCAAGUAUUGGAUGCUACUGUGUAGCAUAUCUUGUUUUAGAAUGUUCAGUAAUGAACAUGUUAGUUCCUGUAAUAACUAAACAGCAAGUACAUUAGUUGUCUAGGUCCUGUUUGGUGAAGCUGGAUGCAUAUUGUACAUGUGACCAGUCUCUUAAACCAUGGGUACAGUGUCACCAAAUGUCCUGUUUGGUCAAACUGUACCCAUGGUUUAAGAGGGACUGGUCACAGGUACAACAUGCAUCCAGUUUGACCAAACAGGACAAACAGUCCAGUGUAAUAAACAGUCCGUUUAUUACAGGAACAACUGUAACUGAUGUUCAUUACUGAACAUACUACUAAACAAGGAGGACCAAUAUAUGGAAGGGAAUGACAUGCUGGAGCCAAUUUUCAAGAUACUUAGUUCUGCUCUGUAUGUUUUGGAUAAUAAAAUGUC